rnacentral:rRNA from 1 species
UACAGAGGUCUCAAGCGUUGUUCGGAUUCAUUGGGCGUAAAGGGUGCGUAGGUGGCGCGGUAAGUCGGGUGUGAAAUUUCGGAGCUUAACUCCGAAACUGCAUUCGAUACUGCCGUGCUUGAGGACUGGAGAGGAGACUGGAAUUUACGGUGUAGCAGUGAAAUGCGUAGAGAUCGUAAGGAAGGCCAGUGGCGAAGGCGAGUUCCUGGACAGUGACUGACGCUGAGGCACGAAGGCCAGGGGAGCAAACGGG